rnacentral:rRNA from 1 species
CCUACGGGUGGCAGCAGUGGGGGAUAUUGGACAAUGGGGGGAACCCUGAUCCAGCGACGCCGCGUGAGUGAAGAAGUAUCUCGGUAUGUAAAGCUCUAUCAGCAGGGAAGAAGAAAUGACGGUACCAGAGUAAGAAGCCCCGGCUAACUACGUGCCAGCAGCCGCGGUAAUACGUAGGGGGCAAGCGUUAUCCGGAUUUAUUGGGUUAAAAGGGUGCGUAGGCGGUCCGGAAAGUCAGCGGGAAAAGCCCGGGGCUAAACCCCGGCGAGCCGUUGAAACUGUCGGACUAGAGACGGCGAGAGGUACGCGGAAUGCGCGGUGUAGCGGUGAAAUGCAUAGAUAUCGCGAAGAACUCCGAUUGCGAAGGCAGCGUACUGGCGCCGGACUGACGCUGAGGCACGAAAGCGUGGGUAUCGAACAGGAUUAGAUACCCUGGUAGUC